rnacentral:misc_RNA from 1 species
GUGGGAGCUGGCUUGCCUGCGAUAGCGGUCUGUCAGACACAUUGAUGUUGAAUGUGUCGUCGCAAUCGCAGGCAAGCCAGCUCCCAC